UACGGAGGAUGCAAGCGUUAUCCGGAAUGAUUGGGCGUAAAGCGUCCGCAGGUGGCUGUGUAAGUCUGCUGUUAAAGAGUGAGGCUCAACCUCAUAAAGGCAGUGGAAACUACAUGGCUAGAGUGCGUUCGGGGCAGAGGGAGUUCCUGGUGUAGCGGUGAAAUGCGUAGAGAUCAGGAAGAACACCGGUGGCGAAAGCGCUCUGCUAGGCCGCAACUGACACUGAGGGACGAAAGCUAGGGGAGCGAAUGGG
rnacentral:rRNA from 1 species